CCCUCAGAGAUCCUCCCAACACUUCACUGGGAUGUUUGUUCAAGAUUUCCUAUUGAAGUGUUUGGGGGGACUCCAAGUGC
rnacentral:ncRNA from 2 species